GAGACUAUACUAUCAAGGAUAACUUCUAUAGUUUGUUAUUAGAGAAGUUUCUCUGAACUUAUAGAAUACCCAAAACCAUGAGGAGGAAGUAGAGUGUCCUUUCCUGAGUAGGAAGCUGGCUCUGGGUGUUGCUUCUGCAGCUGCCCUUUGCCAUUGAUGAUCUUUUUUCCCUCCUUUGGAAGUGCAAGAGGGACGGGAAAUCAUCUCACUGGG
ensembl:snoRNA U3 Small nucleolar RNA U3